CCAGAGGUGGCGUUCCCCUUUAAAAGUCCCAGCACAUGCUAAGAUGCGGCGCUCCUGCAGGCUGGGCUGCGGCACUGGGGAACUCUGCUGAGCUGGGCAGUUCGCGCAGCCCGAGCUGCCCGAGCGUGUCAUUGUGUGCGGGCGGCGGGCGGCCACUGCACCAGCCGCUCAACUUUGCCGCUCGCCCCCUCCGCCUCCCGCCCGCGGCCGAGAGACCCCGGCCCCGGAGGAAGCUCCGCGCGCCCGCUCGGAUCUCCAGAGAGAACAUCGCCUUCCAGCCCCUGGCAAAGGAAAGGAGGAUGCCUUCCAGUUGGAGAGGAGAGAUGGGAAGGGACCCAAAUCUAACAGGCACCAGAGAGAAGAGGCUAGCUGCUGACCCAGAGGGGCUCGACUCGGUGUGGACAUUUGAAGGAAAGACAUCCGACUCUCAGUCUGACCGGCUACCCUUCAUGGACUCGGUUUCCUCCUUCUGCUAAUCGCUAGUCUCUUACAGAAGAUCCCAGAGCACAAGAAGGCGGCAUGGGGAGGCUGGCCGGCCAGCUGUGAGUGUUUCUUUGGCAGUGUCUUAGCUGGUUGUUGUGAGUAAUAGAUGAGGAAGCAAUCAGCAAGUAUACUGCCCUAGAAGUGCUACACGUUGUUAGGCCUGUGAGGAUGGACGAGGCCAGCCUGGGACCCCAUCGUCGGAGACCCGGACCCCGCAGCCUGAGCUCAAGAAGGAACCAUUCGGGUCCCUUAG